rnacentral:misc_RNA from 1 species
GAUGAAGAACGCAGCGAAAUGCGAUAAGUAAUGUGAAUUGCAGAAUUCAGUGAAUCAUCGAAUCUUUGAACGCACAUUGCGCCCGCCAGUAUUCUGGCGGGCAUGCCUGUUCGAGCGUCAUUUCAACCAUCAAGCCCCAGGCUUGUGUUGGGGACCUGCGGCUGCCGCAGGCCCUGAAAACCAGUGGCGGGCUCGCUGUCACACCGGGCGUAGUAGAUUUUAUCUCGCUCAGGGCAUGCUGCGGGUCCCGGCCGUUAAAAGCCUUUUUUUACCCAAGGUUGACCUCGGAUCAGGUAGGAAGACCCGCUGAACUUAAGCAUAUCAAUAAGCGGAGGA